GUAGGUGGCGAGCGUUAUCCGGAAUGAUUGGGCGUAAAGGGUGCGUAGGUGGCAGAACAAGUCUGGAGUAAAAGGUAUGGGCUCAACCCGUACUGGCUCUGGAAACUGUUCAGCUAGAGAACAGAAGAGGACGGCGGAACUCCAUGUGUAGCGGUAAAAUGCGUAGAUAUAUGGAAGAACACCGGUGGCGAAGGCGGCCGUCUGGUCUGUUGCUGACACUGAAGCACGAAAGCGUGGGGAGCAAAUAGGAUUAGAUACCCUAGUAGUCCACGCCGUAAACGAUGAGAACUAGGUGUUGGGGGAAUAACAGA
rnacentral:rRNA from 1 species